CUGUAAUCGGCUCAACUGGCAGCGCAUAAAUACUUGGGAAGAAAAACAAGCAAUUAUUGUCUAAAAAGAUAACAUGAUAGUCAUGAAAGGAUACAAACCUAAAGAAACUAAGUUAUUUGUCAGUUUGGAUGCCAAAACUUAGAUCAUCUACCUUCUAGUAUCAGGUCCUCUUUCUCUCUUGCCAUAUACUACUUGUGUGGCCUUGGACAAAUCUGUCCCUCUAAGCCUCAUCUUUCUAAUAUGUAAGUAUAAAGUCUACACUACAGGUUGUAAUAAGGAUUACAAACUAGUUAUCCCUCAGUUAUCUGUGGGGGACUGAUUUCAAGACCCUCUACCUCUCUCUCCUGGCAGAUAACUAAGCCCAAGAUGCUCAAGUUCCAUAUAGAAAAUGACGUAGUAUCUGCAUAAAAUCUAUGCAUGCCCUCCUGUAUGCUGUAAAUCAUCUCUAGAUUACUUGUAAUACCUAAUACAAUGUGAAUGCUAUGUA